rnacentral:rRNA from 1 species
GUACCGUGAGGGAAAGAUGAAAAGAACUUUGAAAAGAGAGUUAAACAGUACGUGAAAUUGUUGAAAGGGAAACGAUUGAAGUCAGUCAUACCAACGGGAAAUCAACCUUUUGAGCUUGGUCUCGUGGGUUUUGAAGAGUUUCAAAGCCUUCGGAUUCGCGGGAUUGGGAUCUCUUGGUGUACUUUUUCGUACGGUUAGUCAACAUCGGUUUUGAAUGUCAUAAAAUGACUGGAGGAAUGUAGCUUCGAUCUCGUAUUGAAGUGUUAUAGCCUUUGGUAGAUGUGAUGUUUGAGACCGAGGAUUGCAACGGAUACCCUUCAGGGCUAUUCGUCUGAUCUCUGAUACGUUGCCUUGAUGUUGAAAGCUUGCUUAUGAUGUUAGGGUAUUACGGUCAAAAGGUUAGAACGGAUUAGAUUCGUUAAGG